rnacentral:lncRNA from 1 species
GUUAACUUUUACAAAAAUCUUCUCCUCUGAAACUACUGGGCCAAAUUAAACCAAACUUGGCCACAAUCAUCAUUGGGGUAUCUAGUUUUAAAAAAGUGUCCGGUGACCCGGCCAACCAACCAAGAUGGCCGCCAUGGCUAAAAAUAGAACAUAGGGGUAAAAUGCAGUUUUUGGCUUAUAACUCAAAAACCAAAGCAUUUAGAGCAAAUCUGACGGGGUUAAAUUGUUUAUCAGGUCAAGAUCUAUCUGCCCUGAAAUUUUCAGAUGAAUCGGACAAAUUGUUGUUGGGUUGC